GAUGAACGCUGGCGGCGUGCCUAAUACAUGCAAGUCGAGCGAACAGACGAGGAGCUUGCUCCUCUAACGUUAGCGGCGGACGGGUGAGUAACACGUGGAUAACCUACCUAUAAGACUGGGAGAACUUCGGGAAACCGGAGCUAAUACUGGAUAAUAUAUUGAACCGCAUGGUUCAAUAGUGAAAGACGGUUUUGCUGUCACUUAUAGAUGGAUCCGCGCCGCAUUAGCUAGUUGGUAAGGUAACGGCUUACCAAGGCAACGAUGCGUAGCCGACCUGAGAGGGUGAUCGGCCACACUGGAACUGAGACACGGUCCAGACUCCUACGGGAGGCAGCAGUAGGGAAUCUUCCGCAAUGGGCGAAAGCCUGACGGAGCAACGCCGCGUGAGUGAUGAAGGUCUUCGGAUCGUAAAACUCUGUUAUUAGGGAAGAACAAAUGUGUAAGUAACUAUGCACGUCUUGACGGUACCUAAUCAGAAAGCCACGGCUAACUACGUG
rnacentral:rRNA from 1 species